CUUUUUUACAUGGAAAUAUUAUUUAAUUCUUCCGCUGAUGGUAUGCAUGUCUGUGAUAUUGAGAAAUAGCAAACAUUUGGCAUGCAUUGGCUUUGACAUCAUCCAGUUCAUCUGGUUCUUAACUGAAUUUCUUUCAUCAUUAUAACAAAUUGAAUACUCACUGCAUAAUGCUGCUUUGUAGCAAGUUAUAUUUCUAAUAUAUCAGCUUUUUGAUAAGUUAAUGGAAAUUCAUUUAAAGAGUUAAGAGAGCUUUGUACACUGGUAGUUUCUAGAAACUUAAUGAAUAUUUAAUGCUGAACCCUAAGUUAGUUCCUAGGGAAGUAAUGGAUAUAAAAAGCUGCUAUAUUACUCUUAAAUCCUAAUUGGUUAAUUUUAUACUUAUUAUCAGGGAUUUGCAUACUUGCCGGGU
rnacentral:misc_RNA from 1 species